AUCAAAUAAAUGUAGUUUUAUUGUUCAUGUCAUCAGAUCACUCAAUAUAUGUUUAGUUAUUAAACUUACAGGAACUUCAGUACAUGAAUGAACAAAACAUUAUAUUAUAUUCAAUUAAAACAUUUGAACAUAUUCUUAAUUAACGGUCUGAUUUUAAAAGUAUCUCAGAGUUCAGUUCAACGUGUUUCAGGACGAGAGCUGGAACACUGAGACAAGAAGAGGACCGACUGAAGGCUCGUCUGCGCUGCAGUUUGUGGAGCCGGCAGGAGAAUCUGAGACGUCAGGAGACGGAGGAGAGUUUACUGGGACUGAAACACAGACUGGACCAGCUGGACACACUGCUCACACACACUGCUCACACACACACACACACACACUGAAAAAUAAUGAUCAAUUAUUUUGAUAAUCGAUUAAUGUACGUGUGUGCGAACCACAGACUGUCUGUGGUACCAACAGUGAAGUCGCUGCCGUAUUUAUGACCAGAUGACGUCAUUCUGAGUGUCGAUGGAGCUACAACGUUAGCCUAGCUUAGCGCUGCUCCACCAAACUCCAUUCAGAAAACAAGCAUUUUAAAAGUGCGGACAGAACUUUGUGAGCACAGCAUAAAUAAUUCUGCAUUAUAGAAAGAAUUAUAUUUCCAUCGUACCACAUGUUGUCUUAGAUGUUAAAAUUAACAUUUCUUUCUGAGAACUUUUCAUCUUCUUUGAGUUUAAAGUUAUUUUAAUCUUAAUCCUAAAAAUUCAAACUGAUAUUUUUAACCAACAUUAAAUUUCUCAGAAAAAACUGAGCAAACCAAAUUCAGUCAGAUUAACACUGUGGAUGUUUUUACAAAUCAGAAACUGGUAAUUACAAUAACUCCUGAAUGCAGCAUAAACAUUACUGUUUGGAACAAAAAACUCACUAUGAAUGAAUAUUUCUGAUGUCUUUGAAUGCAACGCUGAGCUGAAGCUCGUGGUGCUUUCAAGAAAACAUGUUAAACAGAGUUUUGUAUAUUUUCCACCUG
rnacentral:lncRNA from 1 species